GAGGUGUACGCCAGCGUGGGAGACACGCCGUCCGCAGACAGCGCGUGGUCAGCCAGCCACUAUCAUCACCAGCACCCAACCACCACGAGAUGAUCGAAGCAUUUUUUACAUAUGGGAAUAACAACAAACGAAAUAGAGGAAGCGCGUCAUCAAAGGAACAGAGAGAGAGACACACACGCCGGAUAUUGCUUCUCAAAUCCAUUUUUACACGUCCAAUUCUAUUCUUGCAACGUGUGAUUACACUUCUCCCCAUUCACCCCCUGUGCUCGCGUGAUAAUGGUCUUUGGAGACACCGGGGAAGGACGACGACAAAAUUCUACAAUGUGAAGCGUCAUCAGCGAGACUUCUUUCUGAAGGAUAAGUUGCUCAGACCUACAGAAACCGAGUCCUACUUGGGAUUUAUAACAUCGCGAAGUUCUCACCUCUUCUUCGCGAGCGUUGAUGUCUGCUCAUUAAUGCAUGCUCGGCCGGAAUUCCAUAUUCUUCUCAGCAGAGGCGUCCCAGUUAAUAAUCGUCGCUGUACGCGCGUAUAUCAUGGAUUUAUUACGAUUUCCAUUGUUUUACAAUUGCUAUAAUGACGGGGAAGAAAGAGGAACACAAAAGUGCGGACUUGCGUCAAGUGAAGCGACGUAAUCGUGUUAAAGUCAAUAUCAAGUACAAAGCAUGCACUGUGUGUGCGAAAAGUGCGUCACAGACGGGACGUCGCUAUUGUAGCUCAAUGCAAUGGCACUGUCGGUGAAUUGGCUUAUCAGCUGCAAGUUGUGCGAUGAAACGCGCGGAUGUUCGAAUGCGCGGAUCGGCAACAUCUGGUGACCAUGGAAAGGAGAAUCACUUGAACACAGUUCUUCCUAAUGACUGCACGUGAAAAGAAGAAAAAA
rnacentral:misc_RNA from 1 species